rnacentral:rRNA from 1 species
CACGUAGGGGGCGAGCGUUGUCCGGAUUUAUUGGGCGUAAAGAGCUCGUAGGCGGCUCGGUAAGUCGGGUGUGAAACCUCCAGGCUCAACCUGGAGACGCCACCCGAUACUGCCGUGGCUAGAGUCCGGUAGAGGAGCGUAGAAUUCCUGGUGUAGCGGUGAAAUGCGCAGAUAUCAGGAGGAAUACCAGCGGCGAAGGCGGCGCUCUGGGCCGGUACUGACGCUGAGGAGCGAAAGCGUGGGGAGCAAACGGG